rnacentral:rRNA from 1 species
GUGGGGAAUAUUGGACAAUGGGCGAAAGCCUGAUCCAGCCAUGCCGCGUGUGUGAAGAAGGUCUUCGGAUUGUAAAGCACUUUAAGUUUGGAGGAAGGGCAGUAAGUUAAUACCUUGCUGUUUUGACGUUACCGACAGAAUAAGCACCGGCUAACUUCGUGCCAGCAGCCGCGGUAAUACGAAGGGUGCAAGCGUUAAUCGGAAUUACUGGGCGUAAAGCGCGCGUAGGUGGUUUUGUAAGUUGGAGGUGAAAUCCCCGGGCUCAACCUGGGAACUGCCUCCAAAACUGCAUGACUAGAGUACGGUAGAGGGUAGUGGAAUUUCCUGUGUAGCGGUGAAAUGCGUAGAUAUAGGAAGGAACACCAGUGGCGAAGGCGACUACCUGGACUGAUACUGACACUGAGGUGCGAAAGCGUGGGGAGCAAACAGGAUUAGAAACCCCUGUAGUCC